CCUUUCCACUCUUCAUGGUUUUUUUUAAGGGUCUCCUCUGUGAAGCAUUCUUGUUCCUACUUCGUAAAGAGUCAAGAACUUUUUCCUCUCACCACGGAUUCUUGUAAAUAUUUAUUGCAAUGAUCACUUUUUAUUAAACUUGUUUAUUUACAUAUCUACCUCUCAUUCUAGACCUUAAGUUCCUUGCAAUCAGGAACUAUAUCUUACUUCUCUAUCAGCAUCUGGCAGGCUGCUUAUAAAAACAAGUGGCUUGGCCAGGCACAGUGGCUCAUGCCUGUAAUCCCAGCACUUUGGGAAGACAAGGUAGGUGGAUCGCUUGAGGUCAAGAGUUCUAGACCAGCCUGGCCAACAUGGUAAAGCCCCGUCUUGGCUGGGCGCGGUGGCUCACGCCUGUAAUCCCAGCACUUUGAGAGGCCAAGGCGGGCGGAUCCUCUGAGGUCAGGAGUUUGAAACCAGCCUGGCCAACAUGGCGAAACUCCGUCUCUACUAAAAAUACAAAAAUUAGCUGGGCAUGAUGGCAGGCGCCUGUAAUCCCAGCUACUGAGGAGGCUGAGGCACAAGAAUCGCUUGAACCCGGGAGGCGGAUGUUGCAGUGAGCUGAGAUCGUACCACUG
rnacentral:lncRNA from 1 species